GACUAUGGCCAUGCCACCCUGAACAAGCCCGUUCCUGUCUGAUCUUGGAAGCUAAGCAGGGUCAGGCCUGGUUAGGACUUGAAUGGGAGACCACCUAGGAAGAACAGGUGCUGUAGGUG
rnacentral:rRNA from 1 species